AGAGAUGAGUUCCUCUGUAUUAACGUUGUACGCAAUAUUCGUAUAUAUGUGACCUUAAAAACAAAUAAAACAAUAGUUUGACCUAGGACGGAAUUAUAUCUAAAUAUCCUGUUGUAUAUACGUUUUCUUCAGUAUGUAUUUACUUUACACAUGAAGAAUAUUUACGAUCGAGUAUAAGUAGUGUCAAGAUUUCUUUUAUAGGUAAAGUUUAAAGGAAGUAGGACGUACGUUUAAAAAUUAAUAUGUAGGAUGGUAAUUUGCCGAUUAAGGCACCUUAGAAAGACUUAGAAUGGAAUGAAAAUUUUCACGUUCGAAUGAACUAAAAGAUGUAACCUAGGUUAACAAUGUCAUUUUUUAAAAUUACAAAUAUGUAACUAGAGUGACCAGAAGAACGAGUUAUGACAGACAGGGAUUUAAAUGACAAUGCAGCAGUUUGGCAUACAGAUUCGCAGGUUUCAGACGUACCGUCGAUAAACUAUGAAGUUUACACAGACGAAGAUGCCAUUGAGGAACUGCAUGGACCUAUGAGCUGGACGGGACCCGCUCUGGGAAGUGCAAUUUUCUGUUUUUUACCGACAGGACUGAUAGAUAGCAUAUUAUAAUGCUAGAAAGGCACAAAAAUCAUUCGAAGCGGGUGACAUGCAAUCAUGGACACGUUACAGGGGACGUGCACGGUUUCUCGUGUUUGUUACUUGUAUUCUCGGAAUUUUAGUCUAUAUAGUAAUAAUCGCAGUUGUGCAAGGAGUAAAACAUACUAGUACCACGUGAUUCAGUCAUGUGUUCCUGGAAUUCUACUUCACAUUGCAUUAUAUUCACAGUUUUGAAAGGAUUCAAACAUACUAGUACCAUGUGAUUCAUUCAUGCGUUUUUGGAAUUUUAGAGUAUUUUGCAAUAAUUAGAGUUGCGCAAAGAGUCAAACAUAUCAAAAUCGCGUGAUUUAUUCAUGCGUUUUUGGAAUUUUAGCUCAUAAUGCAGUAAUUGCAGAUGUGUUAAGAGUCAGACAUAUCAUUUCCACGUGAUUCAUCCAUAUGUUCUUAGAAUUUUAGUUCAUAUUGCAAUUUACGCAAUUAUGCAAGGAGUAAAAGCAACAAUACCACGUGACUCAUCGUUUGUUAUGAUAAUAUGAGCUGAAGAAGGAUAUAAACAAACCUGUACCACGUGAUUCAUCCAUGUGUUCUUGGAAUUUCAUUUAAUGUUGAGAUAAUAUGAGCCACAUGAUAUAUAACGAUUCCAGUACUACGUGAAUCGUUUGCAUGGUUUAAACUGUGGCUGUAUGGACUAUGCAAGGUGUCAAGGAAUUAAACAAUAUCAUUUACAAUAAUAUUCUGUAUUUCAGUAAAUAGUCCCAUUUAGUAACUUGAGUUACAUCUCUCGACGUUCCGAACAAUCACCAUAAACAAUAUGUAACCAAGGUGUCUUAUUUAAUGCUCAUUGUCUCAUUCUUGCCGCUUUCCUGAAGAUGGUUUAAGAUCAUUGGCUUAAUCUUGGACUGAAAAUAAUUUAAAAGAAUUCUUAAAUGCUAGCAGCCGAGAGAUUAUUGCCUUUUAUAAAAUUUUGGUGACAAGUGUUUGAAUGAAAAGUUAACGUGUAUGACACAUACAUUCAUUAUUAUUUUGCUAUUUGAAGCCUUGAGAAAACAAAUAGGUUUUUAUCUGUGAUACAAGUACCAGUGGCAAUUUAUCAUGUGCUGCCAAAAAGGAUGUAAAAAAAAAUGGACAGUGAUUGAACAGUUGACAUUCUUCAGUGCCAUAUUUAUUCAGUAUAUAAUGUAGUUUAGAAUUUAUAUAAAGUUAACAUGAUACUAUAUUUAAUAAACUAAAAACAUUAACAUGUGAUUGAGCAUCAACAGGACGAUGUCCUCACUAGUCAUAUCUCAUAGGCAUUAAUUCUUAGAAUGUUAAUCUGAUUUCUUUAUAGCCGUAGAUCAAUAAUCAUGUGAUUCAUGUGCAGCCAUACUCAGUCAUAGCCCCUUUAUCUCUAGAUUCACCAACAAUUGUGCUUAUCGGCAAGUGUUAUGCCAUAGGCAUUAAUCAUGUGAUUUAUCAGUAUUUAUGCUCUUUCUGCACGUGAUUCAUUAUUAGUUGUUUUCGCUUCUUUUAGUAGUAGCGCGCUCAAUCAGGAAAUUAAGUGUUCAUUAAGUCUUCCGUAAUUAGGUAUGAGGCCAUAGGCAGUACAUGAUUGAGCAUUGUUAUAAUUGACCAUGGACAUUAACUACGCGAUUCAAUGGCCGGUAUCCAUGCUCAUCCAGAGUGUGCUGCUUCAUUCGCCAGAAACAAAAGCGCCGUGUAGAAACGUUCAUUCGUAUGUUGCAUCAUAUAGAAAUAGGCACCAAUCUCCUGAUGUACGAGCAGCCAUUUUUAUAUUGCAAGUGUUGCAUCAUUAAUCACAAGAUUUAUUAGCAACGUACUCAUUCAAUUUAUUUGUCGCCAGCAAAUGGCAUUAACCACUUGAUUCAUUAGCUGUUAUAUUUAGCCUUUAACUGAAUAAGCAUUAACUGUUUGGCAUUAAGCACGUGAUUUAUUUGUAGUCGUAUUCAUUUAUGUAACGUGGUCACAACUAGCAGUGAGUGUUCAGUUUGUGAAUCACAGGUGGACAUAUUCCUUCUAGCCAAAGAUCACUUUACAGUCAUAUUUGUUAUAUAAUUGUGUUGUAUUUAUUUAGAUUUACAUUUGUAAAUACGAAUGCUUUUAUUACAUUAAAUGUACGGUGUUUCUGACUCCUUAUUAGGUGAAAAUUUAGAUGUACCAGCAUACCCUGCUUUGAAAUGCUGCAACAAAAUAGAAUACUGCCAAUGUAACAGAGUAUUAAAUAUAACAAGACGUG